rnacentral:rRNA from 1 species
ACGGCUCAGUAACACGUGGAUAACCUGCCCUUGGGUCCGGCAUAACCCCGGGAAACUGGGGAUAAUUCCGGAUAACGCACAUAUGCUGGAAUGCUUUCUGCGUAAAAUGGAUUCGUCUGCCCAAGGAUGGGUCUGCGGCCUAUCAGGUAGUAGUGGGUGUAAUGUACCUACUAGCCUACGACGGGUACGGGUUGUGAGAGCAAGAGCCCGGAGAUGGAUUCUGAGACAUGAAUCCAGGCCCUACGGGGCGCAGCAGGCGCGAAAACUUUACAAUGCGGGAAACCGUGAUAAGGGGACACCGAGUGCCAGCAUCCUAUGCUGGCUGUCCGGGUGUGUAAAAUACACCUGUUAGCAAGGGCCGGGCAAGACCGGUGCCAGCCGCCGCGGUAACACCGGCGGCCCGAGUGGUGAUCGUGAUUAUUGGGUCUAAAGGGUCCGUAGCCGGUUUGGUCAGUCCUCCGGGAAAUCUGACAGCUCAACUGUUAGGCUUUCGGAGGAUACUGCCAGACUUGGAACCGGGAGAGGUAAGAGGUACUACAGGGGUAGGAGUGAAAUCUUGUAAUCCCUGUGGGACCACCUGUGGCGAAGGCGUCUUACCAGAACGGGUUCGACGGUGAGGGACGAAAGCUGGGGGCACGAACCGGAUUAGAUACCCGGGUAGUCCCAGCCGUAAACGAUGCUCGCUAGGUGUCAGGCAUGGCGCGACCGUGUCUGGUGCCGCAGGGAAGCCGUGAAGCGAGCCACCUGGGAAGUACGGCCGCAAGGCUGAAACUUAAAGGAAUUGGCGGGGGAGCAC